rfam:Coniochaeta ligniaria NRRL 30616 unplaced genomic scaffold CONLIGscaffold_2, whole genome shotgun sequence.
GGUCGUUUAGCUCAGUGGUUAGAGCGUGUGCUUUACAUUAUAUAAUAUAUAUAUAUAUAUAUAUAUAUAUAUAUAUAUAUAUUGAAAAAUGUCGCACAAGGUCGCAGGUUCGACCCCUGCAACGAUCA